rnacentral:tRNA from 1 species
CAAUGAAUUGCCUGACAAAAGGGCUGUCUUGAUAGGACAGAUUAUGUAAUAAUAUUACCUUCAUU